rnacentral:rRNA from 1 species
AGAGCGAACGCUGGCGGCAGGCCUAACACAUGCAAGUCGAGCGCCCCGCAAGGGGAGCGGCAGACGGGAGAGUAACACGUGGGAACGUACCCUUCAGUUCGGAACAACCCAGGGAAACUUGGGCUAAUACCGAAUACGUCCGUAAGGAGAAAGAUUUAUCGCUGAAGGAUCGGCCCGCGUCUGAUUAGCUUGUUGGUGAGGUAACGGCUCACCAAGGCGACGAUCAGUAGCUGGUCUGAGAGGAUGAUCAGCCUCACUGGGACUGAGACACGGCCCAGACUCCUACGGGAGGCAGCAGUGGGGAAUAUUGGACAAUGGGCGCAAGCCUGAUCCAGCCAUGCCGCGUGGGUGAUGAAGGCCCUAGGGUUGUAAAGCCCUUUCGGCGGGGAAGAUAAUGACGGUACCCGCAGAAGAAGCCCCGGCUAACUUCGUGCCAGCAGCCGC